AGAGAUGCCAAGAUCUAGUUUUUAACUGUGGAGCUUGAUGCUGCCAAUGCAACUUGGUUGCUGAAUGAUGUAGCCUUGCUGUCUACAAAAACUGGGGAGCUACUAUUGCUCACCCUUGUUUAUGAUGGACGGUUUCAGAGGUGUACGCCAAAGAUUUCAAGGGUGCCAUAUCUGCAUUAGCCUCACUUCAAGGUCAUCUGUUGAUUGAGCAGGUCCUAAAAUUACGUUAAACAAGUGGAAUGGCACUGAACUGAAUGGUGUGGCAUUUUUUGAUGUUCCACCAUUGUAUGUUUUGAGCUUGAAUAUUGUCAAGAAUUUUUCCUCCUUGGUGACAUUCACAAAAGCAUUUACUUUCUCAGUUGAAAGGAGCAGGGAUCUCAGCUAAAUCUGUUGGCCAAGGAUUUUGGUAACCUAGAUUCUUUUUUAUCGAUGGAAGUUUGCUGAGGCUUGUAGUUGCAGAUGAACGAAAGAACAUUCAGAUCUUUUUCUACGCACCAAAGAGGUCUGAGAGUUGGAAAGGCCAGAAGCUUCUCUCACGGGCUAAAUUUCUUGUUGGUACCCAUGUUACCAAGUUCUUGCGGUUGCAGAUGCUCUCUAACUCAGGGACUAAUCCAGGCUCCAACAAAACUAAUUGCUAUGCUUUGUUAUUUGGUACCCUGGAUGGCAGCAUUGGUUGUGUUAUGCCUCUUGAUGAACUCACAUUUCGUAGGUUGCAGUCACUACAGAAAAAGCUUGUUGAUGCAGUUGCCCAUGUUGCUGGUUUGAAUCCAAGAGCUUUCCGCCAGUUUCGGUCAAAUGGAAAAGCUUAUCUGCCUGGCCCUGAUACCAUAGUUGACUGCAAGCUUCUAACCCAGGCGGGCAGAAGUUCGUUGGUGUUGCAGGAAAGGAAUGGCCUUUCUAACGUAUAUUCCGUCGUACCAACAUGGCCGCACUGAUUUGUUUUCGAUUGGAGCAUCAAGCAACUUCAGUGAUGGUGAGCUGGUCAAGUAAGGAGAAUCGACAAGGUGGAGAAGAUUUAAAAAGAAUCUGCAGCAGUGAGAGUCAAAUGACUGAUCGUGAUCGUCUGCAGAAGUUGUUUGAGUCUUCAAAUAUGUAAGCCUGUUCGCUGAGGUGAACAAGAAGGAGGCCCUGUAUGCCCUACUAUACGGCUGAAUCACCAUCUUUCUGCCCGAGCAACCUGGUCCCUAUUCGCUUGCUUGUUCGUUGGAUGCGUUGUUUUGUGUAACACGUAUUGAGGAAGUCAACUUCUGAUAUUAAUUUAAGACAGAUUUGGGUAUUGGUUU